AACCUCUGUAUAUACCUUUCAU
rnacentral:miRNA from 15 species